rnacentral:rRNA from 1 species
UGCAGUCGAACGAGUUCUGAUUAUUGAAAGGUGCUUGCAUCUUGAUUUAAUUUUGAACGAGUGGCGGACGGGUGAGUAACACGUGGGUAACCUGCCCUUAAGUGGGGGAUAACAUUUGGAAACAGAUGCUAAUACCGCAUAAAUCCAAGAACCGCAUGGUUCUUGGCUGAAAGAUGGCGUAAGCUAUCGCUUUUGGAUGGACCCGCGGCGUAUUAGCUAGUUGGUGAGGUAACGGCUCACCAAGGCAAUGAUACGUAGCCGAACUGAGAGGUUGAUCGGCCACAUUGGGACUGAGACACGGCCCAAACUCCUACGGGAGGCAGCAGUAGGGAAUCUUCCACAAUGGACGCAAGUCUGAUGGAGCAACGCCGCGUGAGUGAAGAAGGCUUUCGGGUCGUAAAACUCUGUUGUUGGAGAAGAAUGGUCGGCAGAGUAACUGUUGUCGGCGUGACGGUAUCCAACCAGAAAGCCACGGCUAACUACGUGCCAGCAGCCGCGGUAAUACGUAGGUGGCAAGCGUUAUCCGGAUUUAUUGGGCGUAAAGCGAGCGCAGGCGGUUUUUUAAGUCUGAUGUGAAAGCCCUCGGCUUAACCGAGGAAGUGCAUCGGAAACUGGGAAACUUGAGUGCAGAAGAGGACAGUGGAACUCCAUGUGUAGCGGUGAAAUGCGUAGAUAUAUGGAAGAACACCAGUGGCGAAGGCGGCUGUCUGGUCUGUAACUGACGCUGAGGCUCGAAAGCAUGGGUAGCGAACAGGAUUAGAUACCCUGGUAGUCCAUGCCGUAAACGAUGAAUGCUAGGUGUUGGAGGGUUUCCGCCCUUCAGUGCCGCAGCUAACGCAUUAAGCAUUCCGCCUGGGGAGUACGACCGCAAGGUUGAAACUCAAAGGAAUUGACGGGGGCCCGCACAAGCGGUGGAGCAUGUGGUUUAAUUCGAAGCAACGCGAAGAACCUUACCAGGUCUUGACAUCUUUUGAUCACCUGAGAGAUCAGGUUUCCCCUUCGGGGGCAAAAUGACAGGUGGUGCAUGGUUGUCGUCAGCUCGUGUCGUGAGAUGUUGGGUUAAGUCCCGCAACGAGCGCAACCCUUAUGACUAGUUGCCAGCAUUUAGUUGGGCACUCUAGUAAGACUGCCGGUGACAAACCGGAGGAAGGUGGGGAUGACGUCAAAUCAUCAUGCCCCUUAUGACCUGGGCUACACACGUGCUACAAUGGAUGGUACAACGAGUUGCGAGACCGCGAGGUCAAGCUAAUCUCUUAAAGCCAUUCUCAGUUCGGACUGUAGGCUGCAACUCGCCUACACGAAGUCGGAAUCGCUAGUAAUCGCGGAUCAGCACGCCGCGGUGAAUACGUUCCCGGGCCUUGUACACACCGCCCGUCACACCAUGAGAGUUUGUAACACCCGAAGCCGGUGGCGUAACCCUUUUAGGGAGC